UACGUAGGGUGCAAGCGUUUAAUCGGAAUUACUGGGCGUAAAGCGUGCGCAGGCGGUUUUGUAAGUCUGUCGUGAAAUCCCCGGGCUCAACCUGGGAAUUGCGAUGGAGACUGCAAGGCUAGAAUCUGGCAGAGGGGGGUAGAAUUCCACGUGUAGCAGUGAAAUGCGUAGAUAUGCGGAGGAACACCGAUGGCGAAGGCAGCCCCCUGGGCCAAUACUGACGCUCAGGACACGAAAGGCGUGGGGAGCAAACGAGGA
rnacentral:rRNA from 1 species